rnacentral:rRNA from 1 species
CUAUACAUGACUCUGCGCAUAUCAAUAAGCGGAGGAAAAGAAACUAACAAGGAUUCCCUUAGUAACGGCGAGUGAAGCGGGAAGAGCUCAAAUUUGAAAUCUUCAAGGUUUUACCUUGACGAAUUGUAGUUUAAAGAAGUGUUUUCUGUUGGAGUUUUGGUAAAAGUUCUUUGGAAUAGGACAUCAUAGAGGGUGAGAAUCCCGUAUUUGACCAUUAUUUCCAGCUGUGUGAUACACUUUCAAAGAGUCGGAUUGUUUGGGAAUGCAGUCCAAAAUGGGUGGUAAAUUUCAUCUAAAGCUAAAUAUUGGCGAGAGACCGAUAGCGAACAAGUACCGUGAGGGAAAGAUGAAAAGAACUUUGAAAAGAGAGUUAAACAGUACGUGAAAUUGUCAAAAGGGAAGCGUUUGACACCAGUGUUGUUUAGUUGAAAAUCAAUUCAAUAGUUUUUGAUUCUAAGUAGUAUUGACUUCAUCAGCUUGCUGCUUUCUUCUCAGAAAUUAUUGAAUGCACUUUUCAGUUAACAAGUCAACAUCAAUUUCUUUUGUUGUAAAAGGGUAAGAGGAAGGUGGCUUGACGCUUCGGCGUAAGUGUUUAUAGCCUUUUAUCCUCUAGCAAUCGGAGAGAUUGAGGAUCAGCAGCGUAGACUCCUUCGGGGUUAGAUACACUUGGUGCUAAGCUAUAGCCUUGUAUAGACAACUUGUUGACUAUGCUCAGUCAUGUAGCUUACUCGCAUGAUGCUAUUUUACCUACGCUUAGGAUGUUGAUAGUCACAGCGUGUAC